AUUCAGAAAUAGCUCCUGGGAUACCAUGAUCACGAAGGUGGUUUUCCCAGGGUGAAGCUUAUCCAUUGCACUCCGGAUGUGCUGACCCCUGCAAUUUCCUCAAAUGUGGGAAACUCGACUGCAUAAUUUGUGGUAGUGGGGGACUGCGUUGGCACUCUCCCUUG